rnacentral:rRNA from 1 species
UACGAAGGGGGCUAGCGUUGUUCGGAAUUACUGGGCGUAAAGCGCACGUAGGCGGAUUGUUAAGUUAGGGGUGAAAUCCCAGGGCUCAACCCUGGAACUGCCUUUAAUACUGGCAAUCUCGAGUCCGAGAGAGGUGAGUGGAAUUCCGAGUGUAGAGGUGAAAUUCGUAGAUAUUCGGAGGAACACCAGUGGCGAAGGCGGCUCACUGGCUCGGUACUGACGCUGAGGUGGCGAAAGCGUGGGGAGCAAACAGG